rnacentral:lncRNA from 1 species
GUAAAGGAGGUCAAGAUCUUUAGAGUUUACCUGGAGGGCAGUGAAAUCCACUCAAUAUAAGUUCUUUUCUUUCCUUUACUUUUUGUACUUGUUCUUUGGUUUCUGCUUCUUUCACCUGACUGCCUUCUUGUCUGGAUUGUCACAAGGUUGCUGCUGGUUCUUUGGAAGCAGGGAGGAAUGGAGGCAGUGAUUAUAGGAUUUGGGUUAAAGAGGGCUGCUUUGAUUUUUUGAGUUGGCUUAGCAUUGAUUCCAAAUGAUUAUUUUAGGAAUGAAUUUGUGUGAGUUGAAUGAAAUUUAUGAAUGAAUGAAGAGCUUCCCUUUUGGCUGUGAAUUCUUUCAUUUUCUCUCACACAUGAACUCGAUCCCUUUGAUCUGUAUCCUCUACUUGAUUGCUCUUGAUGAGCAGAAUUGACACCUUCCGUUCUUGGAUUGAUUCACGCGCAAUAGCCAGCUUUUGUUCUUAUCCCUUUUGUUUUUUUCCAUUUUUUAUUUUUUCCUUUUCAUCCACGUCCUGCCCCCUUCCCUUUUUUACUUUAUAUUUUUUAUGAUUUAAUUACAAAAAAUAUAAUAACAACUUUUUGCGAGUGAAAAAGGAAAAAUUGGGUAGACACCCGACGCUUCCCCGAAUGUUCGGGAACGAGGUAAACAUUCCACUUUCGGUCGAAUAUUUGUCCUCCGCUUAAAAUCAAUCUCAUUCUCUUUUUUCGCGCCCAUGUACGCUCACUUCUUUUUUAUCAAAAGGGUAUCAUCGCCUAAGUGUGAGUUCGUCUUUUCGCCAAAGUGCGGCCAAAUAAAUUUUCGCAAAUAAAAUCAACCAACACACAAGCAUUUUCUACCUCCAAAGAACUGCGUGUAACUUUGAUUUCUCCAUUGCACUCGGGGAUACGUAGGAGCAAGAGACCACUCUUGUCAAGCACACUAAUAAAAAACCAUUUUUUUCCUUUUAUUUAAAACCAAACAUUUCAUUUUUAAUCCACAUCCACAUUUAAUAAUGGAAGCAAACAUAAAACUAACACCUAAUUAAGCGCUAAACUAAUUAACGGUUCCCGUUGGAUA